CGAGCGUUGUCCGGAUUUACUGGGCGUAAAGCGUGUGCAGGCGGGGUGUUUAGUGGUGUUUGAAAUCUCUGGGCUUAACUCGGAGGGGUUAUGCCAGACUGUCACUCUAGAGUGCGAGAGAGGAACGUGGAAUUCCAGGUGUAGCGGUGAAAUGCGUAGAUAUCUGGAGGAACACCGGUGGCGAAGGCGGCAUCCUGGACCGAUACUGACGCUGAGGAGCGAAAGCCAGGGGAGCAAACGGG
rnacentral:rRNA from 1 species